CUCAUAAGCAAGGUGGAUGGAUGCAUAUAAAGCAAGAACCAUCAGACACUGGUUGACAUGCUUUCCCUCAGCCCUUGAAGAACACUCAAAUAAUAGUAAAUUUCAAAUCACAAUGCCAGUCUGCACUGUUGUGAAAGACCUGUGCAUAAACAUUCAUAGGGAUGAAUUCAGAGGUGAUGGGCAACACAGACUGAGGAAAAGGAGCCCAGAGAGUAGGUAAUAAUAAAGAAAAUCAUGAAAAGAGGAAACAGAGGAGGAAAAGCAGCUAAGUGAAAGGUAUGUAACACCUAAUCUAAAGCACAUUUCUCUCUCCUUCAGCGCACACAAAACUUUUACCGGUUCCUUUUUAUGGUUAUUGAAUGCCCACAUUACCUGAAAGUGGAAUUUAUUGUGCUGAGUGUUAAACUCUAAGUUUUACAAAUAAGCUUCCGUACAAAAAUAUUUAUUAUCUGUAACGUACAUCAUCAGCUCUUACACUCCCACUGCGUUCAUCCAUUGUCUCCCAAUACAGUUACCGUGAACGUAUGUCAGAAUAUACGUCAGCCUCAGAAAUACACACUUGUACUGCAGUGACUAUUUUCUAUUCCUUAUUUCUUUGCCUCUAUUUUAAACAACGGAUGCGUACGUUUG
rnacentral:lncRNA from 1 species